UACGAAGGUCCCAAGCGUUGUUCGGAAUUACUGGGCGUAAAGCGUGUGUAGGCGGCGUGGAAAGUCAGAUGUGAAAUCCCGGGGCUCAACCUCGGAAUUGCAUCCGAUACUCCCAUGCUAGAGGGCUGGAGGGGAGUCUGGAAUUCACGGUGUAGCAGUGAAAUGCGUAGAUAUCGUGAGGAACACUAGUGGCGAAGGCGAGACUCUGGACAGUUCCUGACGCUGAGACACGAAGGCUAGGGGAGCGAAGGGG
rnacentral:rRNA from 1 species